rnacentral:lncRNA from 1 species
UUCAUACUUCACUAGCAAGGGAUAUGAAUGGAGAAAGAUAACUCCAUAAAAUAAGCAAAUUACCAGAUACAAAGGCACAGUUCUCAUCUUCCAUGCGAUGGAGCCACAUCCCCUGGCCUGAAAGAACAACAGCAACCACAAAACUCAGAUGAGGAGUUCUAGAAAUUAAAUGUCAACCUCAUUUAACUCUCAUAUCAUAAAGUGGAUUUAUCUCCACUUCAAAAUCAGAAAAUAGGAUUAGAGAGUUAAUUAAUGUGCCCAUGUUCUCACAGGCUUUAACUGUUGGAGUCACAGAUUGUGAUUAGUAAGGAGCUCUGCGACAUGUUUCACGGGAUCACAACUUGAAGAUUACACCUCAAGUUGCAGAACAAAUGCCUAAUUAUCCAUCAGACCAGCCACAGAGAUAAUUUUAUUUAUUUCUGUGAUGAACAGCUAAUUCUUACUUCAAUAUUUACUGAAGACCUACUUUGUGCUUGGCAAUUUUUUAUUACUGGAGGUACAGUUGUAAAUGAGAAGAUAAGCAUUCUUAUGGAACUCACUCUAAAUAAAAUGAAUAUAUAGGAUGCAUAGUUUAUCAGACAGUUACAAGUACUGUAGAGAAAAAAUAGAGUGAGAAAGGGAGGUGAAAAAAUAACUAAAGAAAUAAACAAAUAUAUUUUUAUCAAGCCAUUUUAUGUGUGGAGGAGAAAAAUAGAGCAAAGAAGAGGCCUAGGUGGGGCUGGAGUGUUGAGGGAAGCCUCCUCUCUGGAGAGAGUGUUUAGACCAAGACUUACAGAAGAUAAAGAAGGAGAAGGCGAAUAUCUGUGGGAUGAGCCUUGAAGGCUGAGGAAAAACCAAGUGCAAAGCCCCCAAGGUGGGGAAUGUCCAGCCUGUCCAAGGAAACACGAGAACUUGUCCCUCUGAGCAAAGUGAACUAUGGAGGCUGCAGUGGAGAGUGUAUCAGAAAGGACAGCGCAUAUCCUACUGCUCUUUGUAGGCCCUGAUGUGGAAACUCAAAUAAAGAGAGGUGAAAGAGUCCCCAGGACAACACAAAAAGGUGACAGAGCCACUGAAUUUAAAUCCAUACCCUCUAAUUCAAGGAAAUGAAAGAAGAGUUUUGAAGAGACAGCUGCCCUCCAUGCUCACGGCAGCAUCAUUCAAAACAGCUAAGAUGAAGAAACAACUAAAAAAGUCUGUUGAGAAAUGAAUAAAGAAAUACAAUAAUUUGUUUUUUUCUUCUUCCCACUUUCAACUUGUGAGACCCCAUCACUGCCUUUUGGACUCUUGCUUCUUUUCUGAUUCAUGUUCCUGUUCACCAUCACCUGCCCCACAGCACCCUCACAGGAAAAGAAAAAAAAAAGCCAAAACAAAACCGAUCUCUUUGUUCACUGGAUCAAAAGUCUUUUAUUAUAGUGCAUUCAGACAUUCAGAAUACAUAUAUGAGGCCUGCU